GUGCAGCAGGCGCGAAUCUUCCACAAUGGACGAAAGUCUGAUGGAGCGACGCCGCGUGCGGGAUGAAGGCCUUAUGGGUUGUAAACCGCUGUCAGGGGGGAAGAACAUCAGAAUGAACAAUACUCAUUCCGACUGACGUUACCCCCAGAGGAAGCUCCGGCCAACUCCGUGCCAGCAGCCGCGGUAAUACGGGGGGAGCAAGCGUUGUCCGGAAUUAUUGGGCGUAAAGGGCGUGUAGGCGGCGAGGUAAGUCGAAUGUGAAAUCUCACGGCUCAACCGUGAAACUGCGUUCGAAACUACCCUGCUUGAGUACGGGAGAGGUGUACGGAGUUCCUGGUGUAGCGGUGGAAUGCGUAGAUAUCAGGAAGAACACCGGUGGCGAAGGCGGUACACUGGCCCAGUACUGACGCUGAGGCGCGAAAGCGUGGGGAGCAAACAGGAUUAGAUACCCCUGUAGUCCUGAGACUCAAGGCACACAGGGAUAGG
rnacentral:rRNA from 1 species